CCUACGAGAGGCAGCAGUAGGGAAUAUUGCUCAAUGGGGGAAACCCUGAAGCAGCAACGCCGCGUGGAGGAUGAAGGUUUUAUGAUUUUAAACUCCUUUUUUUAGAGGAGUUUAUGACGGUAUCUAACGAAUAAUCCACGGCUAACUCCGUGCCAGCAGCCGCGGUAAUACGGAGGAUGCCAGGGUUACUCGGACUAACUGGGCGUAAAGAGUGCGUAGUAGGGGUAAUAAGUCAGAUGUGAAAUCCUGUAGCUUAACUACAGAACUGCAUUUGAAACUGGUACUCUGGAGUGUGGGAGAGGUAGGUGGAAUUCGUGGUGUAGGGGUAAAAUCCGUAGAGAUCAAGAAGAAUACUCAUUGCGAAGGCGACCUGCUGGAACAUUACUGACGCUGAUGCACGAAAGCGUGGUGAGCAAACAGGAUUAGAUACCCGGGUAGUC
rnacentral:rRNA from 1 species